rnacentral:RNase_P_RNA from 1 species
UGGGUCGGCUGGACGGUCGCGUCACGGGUUCGCCCGUGCCGAGGAACGUCCGGGCUCCACAGGGCAGGACGGUGGGUAACGCCCACCCGGAGCGAUCCGCGAGACAGUGCCACAGAGAGCAGACCGCCUCGGCCCCUCGGGGCCGGGGUAAGGGUGAAAGGGUGGUGUAAGAGACCACCGGGGUCGUGGUGACACGACCCGCGAGGUAAACCUCGUCCGGAGCAAGGCCAGACAGGGGAUGACGACGCGGCUCGCCGAGUCCCCGGGUAGGCCGCUGGAGCGGCACGGCAACGUGUCGCCGAGAGAGAUGACCGUCCACGGGGUUUCGACCCCCGGACAGAACCCGGCGUACAGGCCGGCCCAUUCG